GGAAAGGAGAGAUUCAGCAGUUCUCUUUGGGCAUGUAUCCAGGAAACUUGAAAUCCAUGUGCUGAUACAUGAGAUGUGAUGGAAAUGUUUAAGUCAAAGUAUUACCGUAAAAAAAAAAAAAAAAAAAAAAAAAAAAAAAAAGGAAAUGGCCCUGGAACAGGAAAGGCAAAGCCUUGUGGCACAGCGGCCAUGGCCACACCCAGCCCUUCCCUGGUGGGGCUCCCAGGCCAGGCAGGGACUCCUUGGGCAGCUGUCGAGGUGAGGCAGGCUAGCCCCACACCCAAUGUGUGGUGGACAGACUGACCUGGGGGGGGGAGAGGUGAAACAGUGGGAAAAUUCACUGCAGCAGUGAUAGGGAGGGG
rnacentral:lncRNA from 1 species